rnacentral:rRNA from 1 species
GCGGAAGGAUCAUUGUCAGAAACCUGCCCAGCAGAACGACCCUCGAACGAGUGAAAAAAACACCGGCGGUGCGGGGGUGCGUCAGCUCCCCGCUCGCCACGUCGCGGGCGGUGCGGUCGGCUUCUCGUCCGCGAGCGUCGUUCCGUUCCCCCCGCGGCACAACAACGAACCCCGGCGCGGACCGCGCCAAGGAAAUUCUAACGAGAGAGCUCGCUCCCGUCGCCCCGGAGACGGUGCGCGUGCGGGCAGCGGCGCCUUCUUUCACGAUCCAAAACGACUCUCGGCAACGGAUAUCUAGGCUCUCGCAUCGAUGAAGAACGUAGCGAAAUGCGAUACUUGGUGUGAAUUGCAGAAUCCCGUGAACCAUCGAGUCUUUGAACGCAAGUUGCGCCCCAAGCCUUUAGGCCGAGGGCACGUCUGCCUGGGUGUCACGCAUCGUCGCCCCCCCAACCCCCCGCACCCCGGGGAGGAACGUGGGCGGGGCGGAGAAUGGCCUCCCGUGCGCCUCUCGGCUCGCGGUUAGCCCAAAUCCGAGUCCCCGGCUUCGCGUGCCGCGACUUUCGGUGGUCGAAACGAACCUCUAUGUCCCGUCGCGCCCGCGUCG